rnacentral:tRNA from 1 species
GGUGGAGUAGCUCAACUGGUAGAGCACCUAUCUACCAAGUACAAGUUCCUGAGUUCAAACCCCAGUACUAUCC